UGUAGGGCGAAGCGGUGUCAGAGAGCUUUUCAGAUGUCUACAUUUUAAUACCCCAGUGAAGAGUUUGUUAUAAUGUGUGUGUGUGUGUGUGUGUGUGUGUGCGCGCGCGCACGUGUGUUCAUUUUUCCAAGUGUACCGUCCUGAUGCAAAAAUGUGGGGCAGCAGAAGGCAGUGUAGGUGAAGUGAGGAGUGACUGCCUCAGUCUUUGGUAUUUUACAUUGCUCUGUCAGUCUGUCUGUCUGUCUAUCUAUCUGCCUAUCUGCCUAUCCACCUCCCUAUCUGUCCAUUUCAAUGGCAUCAUGUACAAGUGGGGAUCGUGUAUAAGUCUCUGGUCAACCCAGCGUUAUCUAAUAUGCAGUGGGGGGGUCUGAAAAGAGGACUGGGGCUGCAGACCACCCCUCCCGUACACUCUGCAAGCUUCUUCCUCUGCAGGUCAGGGAAGGAUCCGAGUUGUUAUCCCGUUAUCAUGAUCCCUGCUGUGGGUUCAUGGAGCUGUCACCUGAGGUCUUCACUUACCUGCUGGCUGGUCCCACUCCAUCCAGCUCCCUCCUCAGGCCAGCCAGCACCCUUUACCUGUUCUUCCACUUGCUGUUGGAGGAACACCAGCACCGGCACCCUUUACCUGUUCUACCGCCCUUAACCAGCCAGCACCCUUUGGGUGUUCCUCCACUUGCUGGUAUUGCCUAUCUGGUCUGGUUUAUAGUCACUUGUCGGAAAACUUCCAGGUUUGGGGGCCCCACGAGGGUCAGCCUGCUUUCCCAGAACAGGAAAAUGCUGGUAGAUGAAAGGCUUGGCAGCCUCCUUGUUCUCCACUCUGCAACAGAAGGGAUUUCCUUUCUGUAAUCACCACAACCACUAAAGUAUUUGAACAUGAAGGCAUUGAAUCAGUCAUCUUUGCUGGGAAAAGUUUCCACCGAGGGGCAGGUGUUAAGAGCCAGCCUCUGCAGUGGCACCGCUGUAGGAUUUUAAGCCCAUUGACCUCUCAAGGUGGCAGGUACUUGACCUCUGAAUGCCUUAGUGUCCUCGUCUAUAAAACGGGAGUGAUAAAAAUCCACUUCAUAGGGAAUUUGUAAGGGUCAAGUAAGUUAACAUAGGUACGGCAUUUAGAAGAGUAUCCAGCCCAUAGUGAGCACUGUGUAAAUAUAAAGCUAUUGUUACUGCAAGAAUGGCUUUGCCUGCUGCUCAAGAAUUUAGUUUAUGGAGGUUGGAACGGGCUUGUCAAGAGGGAUUAGCAGCCAUCUUGACCAGAGGAGAAACUGAGGCAGUGAGAAGAAGCCAGCUAAGCGAGGUCCAAUGGUAUCUGUGGCUUUGCUUGACUUAAAAUGCAUAUAAACCCAGCUGGGUCUCUGCCACCCUCUGUGUGUUCUUAAGGAAAUAUGGACACCCUAAUGUGAUGCUAAAAUCAGAUGAAGCCAAGAGUGUGUGUCUGUUGGAAUGUCCGUUGGGGGAAAAGAGCAUGAAUUUAGAUGAAAGUAUAGCAAGAAAACCCUAAGAGAAGUGAACCCUAAUGCAGUACAGGGCUGACCAAGAGGGAGAGAGGCGCCCGUUCCCCUUUGCCCUAGGUGUUUGAAAAAAUCUCCAAACCUGUGCCAACCACAACCCAGUCCUGCAGACACUGUGAUUUUGCAAUUUGCUUGCAUCUGUGUUUUGCUGAAAGCUUUCAGCUUUGGGUGCCUCCAGAACUCUUCAGGCCUGGCAAGGAGAGCCGUGCUCUCAUUGCCUUCUGCAAGCAGCCUCAGGACAGCAGAUUUCAUUUGGGAAACUUCCAGGGAUGAAGAAUGCGCCGUGUGUGUGUGUGUGUGCGUGUGUGUGUGUGUGUGUGUGUGUGUGUGUCCCUUAUAAAGAAAAGCAACUUGAUAUUUAUUCAUGUUAUUUUUAAAGAGGAAUGUCCUCUAAGCUGCAGGAAGAUAGAAUAAGAUUGUAUGAUUUUAAUGCAGCUUAUUACUUCUCAAUCCCUUUUCCUUUGUGUGUUUCCCAAAUGCUACUGACAGGAAGGGCACCAAUGAAGGGGCAAAGAGGCAACCUCAGGGGGAGAACUCUACACCUCACAGAAGUGACUGCUUUCGCUGGGCGCCUAUAAGUAUCUCUUUUCCAUCAUCUUCUCCCCUUUGCCUCUUACUCAGCAGUGAAGAAUCCUCAAAUAUCUGCAGAGAUUCCCUAACAGAAUUGUUUGCCUUUACUGCUGGGUUUUUUGGUUUUGUUUUGUUUUAGGGCCGUACCUGCAGCAUAUGGAAGUUCCUGGACUAGGGGUCAAAUUGGAGCUGUAGCCGCUGGCCUACACCACAGCCACAGCAAUGCAGGAUCCAAGCUGGGUCUGUGACCUACACCACAGCUCAUGGCAAUGCCAGAUCCUUAACCCACUGAGCGAGGCCAUGGAUCGGACCUGCAUCCUCAUGGGUACUAGUCAGGUUCAUUACCACCCAGCCACAAUGGGAACACCUGCUGGGGUUGUUGUUUGUUUGUUUUCUGACAGAGAAUAGAAGGAUUUUUCUGUUUUGCUCUUAAAUUAAGUACAAUUGAAUUGAUGCCCAAUUGUUAAAAAUGGCACAAAUAGUCACUUGGGGUUUUUUAUUUGGCCGUACCUGUGAUACGUGGAAGUUCUUGGCUGGGCUGGGGAUUGAACCCAAGCCGCAGUGGUAGCCAUAGCUGCUAGGCCAGCAGGGCACUCCACCAGUCGUUGGUUUAUCACAGUAUGUCUAUAUCUACAUCUGUUUCAUGUCCAUGUUCACUCUAUAGACGUCCCUCAAAUAGAACUGGUAUUCUUUAUGUCUCUUUUUUAAUGUCUUUCUGCAGCAGGGCCAGUGCACUUGAUGAGUGGGGAGUCAAGAGGUCCUUGUCACGGUCAUUCAAGAACAUUGGGUAUCGUGGAUACUUUUUCUUUCAGGAUGAAUAUUUUUGUCACCGUUAAAGCUGCUCAGUCUGUCUCUGGUUAAUGGAAAAAUUUCUGUUAAAAAAAAAAAACAAAACAAAAAAAAAACUGGGCUCCAAUUUAGUGAUAAUAAGGUUACCAGUCUGACUCUAUUAGAAACUGACCACCAGCCAGGAAUUUCUAGUUAAUGCAAAGAUUAGCUGGCAGUCAUCAGGCACUGGUAAGAAACCUCCAGGACAGUAAAAGGCUUUCCUAUGGCUAACAGCUUCAUCUAGAGGAGUGGUAAGCCCAUCGCAUUAAUAAUCCUGUCAAACUAGAGAUGAACCUAGUGAAUUUAAAUGCAUUUUAGGAAAAGGAAAGGCAGGGACAUAUUCUGCCUGUUUUACCUUUGAUGAGCUGACUUCCACCAUUUUUCUAACAUGAAAAAUCCUUGCAUGUUUCUAGUUGCUAACAUCUGGUGAAUGGCAGGGGGUACGCUGUGCUGUGUUCUGCAUGCGUUAUAACCUAAUGCGUUCAUCCUAAAUGGAGUACUC
rnacentral:lncRNA from 1 species